CGACCGGCGCACGGGUGCGUAACGCGUAUGCAACCUACCUUUAACAGGGGGAUAACACUGAGAAAUUGGUACUAAUACCCCAUAAUAUCAUAGAAGGCAUCUUUUAUGGUUGAAAAUUCCGAUGGUUAGAGAUGGGCAUGCGUUGUAUUAGCUAGUUGGUGGGGUAACGGCUCACCAAGGUGACGAUACAUAGGGGGACUGAGAGGUUAACCCCCCACACUGGUACUGAGACACGGACCAG
rnacentral:rRNA from 1 species